rnacentral:rRNA from 1 species
GACAGAGGGUGCAAACGUUGUUCGGAAUUACUGGGCGUAAAGCGCACGUAGGCGGAUUGUUAAGUCAGGGGUGAAAUCCUGGAGCUCAACUCCAGAACUGCCUUUGAUACUGGCGAUCUUGAGUCCGGGAGAGGUGAGUGGAACUGCGAGUGUAGAGGUGAAAUUCGUAGAUAUUCGCAAGAACACCAGUGGCGAAGGCGGCUCACUGGCCCGGUACUGACGCUGAGGUGCGAAAGCGUGGGGAGCAAACAGG